ensembl:processed_transcript
ACACUUGGCGCUAUUCACACACUCUGCCUACUGCACAUGCGCAAUCUCAUAAAUAAUUCCGACUUUAAUAAACUUAAUUAAGAUCUAUCAUCAAAUUAUUCGAAUUUUUGGAGGCCGGGGUGGAGUGCAUGAGCCGCGGUCAGACAGUCACCAAUCACCGGGCGGCUAAAUGGAUCGACGGAGGAUAAAACCAUUAAAAGAUGCGGAGAAACACAUCACCAGCUCCACUGACAAGACCCAUUCACUGGAAACCGAAUAUAUAGAAGGUUACUAAGUUUUGCAGCAUUGAUGCCGAUCAUGAGGACGAGACCCUCGGCCGGCUGGUGAAUGAUGACCAUCUGCACCCUAACUGCACUGUCAAUAAGAUCGUUGUUCAGAGAAAACCUCAUUUGUGCCAUUUUGCAAUCAGGGAUAUUUUCUUUGGAGAGGAAAUAACAUUUGACUAUGGCGCAUGUGAUUGGCCUUGGAGAAAGCUUUCAUUGAAGGAUGCCCAUAUGACUGCAGAAGAGAACUGCUCCGACAACUCUCUGAUGAGCUUUCAUUGAAGUAUGAUCAUAUGACGAGAAGAAGAGAACUGCUCUGCUCCAGUAGGAGACCCACAACCCUCUGAUGAGCUUAUAUUGAAAGUUGACCAUAUGACAGAGGAAGAGAACUGCUCUGCUCCAGUACGAGACUCACAACUCUGAUGAGGUUUGCUGAAGUAUGACCAUAUGACAGAAGGAGAGAACAGCUCUGCUCCAGUACGAGACCCACAACUCUCUGAUGAGCUUAUAUUGAAGGAUGACCAUAUGACAGAGGAAGAGAACUGCUCUGCUCCAGCACGUGACUCACAACUCUGAUGAGCUUUGAUUGAAGGAUGACCAUAUGACAGAGGAAGAGAACUGCUCUGCUCCAGUACGUGACCCACAACUCUC